rnacentral:rRNA from 1 species
CAGCAGCCGCGGUAAUACGAAGGGGGCUAGCGUUGUUCGGAAUUACUGGGCGUAAAGGGCGCGUAGGCGGCCAUUCAAGUUAGAUGUGAAAGCCCUGGGCUCAACCUAGGAAUUGCAUUUGAUACUGUUUGGCUUGAGUUCGGGAGAGGUGAGUGGAAUUCCCAGUGUAGAGGUGAAAUUCGUAGAUAUUGGGAAGAACACCAGUGGCGAAGGCGGCUCACUGGACCGACACUGACGCUGAAGCGCGAAAGCGUGGGGAGCAAACAGGAUUAGAGACCCGUGUAGUCCCUGUCUCUUAUAC